CAAUAGCGUAUAUUUAAGUUGUUGCAGUUAAAAAGCUCGUAGUCGGAUUUUGGCUGAGAACGAACGGUCCUCCGUUAGGUGUGCACUGUUUGGUCUCAGCUUCCUGGUGAGGAGGUGUGCUUCACGGCCACUUAGUCACCGUGGUUACUUUGAAAAAAUUAGAGUGUUCAAAGCGGGCUUACGCUUGAAUAUAUUAGCAUGGAAUAACACCAUAGGACUCCUGUCCUAUUUCGUUGGUCUCGGGACGGGAGUAAUGAUUAAGAGGAACAGUUGGGGGCAUACGUAUUUCAUUGUCAGAGGUGAAAUUCUUGGAUUUAUGAAAGACGAACUUCUGCGAAAGCAUUUGCCAAGGAUGUUUUCAUUGA
rnacentral:rRNA from 1 species